GAGCAGGUGCCUACAAACAGCCCUAGAACAUGCAAGAACAUAGGUACAGUUUUCCCCCAGUGUGCAGAGGAGACCUCUUUGGGGACAGUCUGGGAAGCUCUCACACCAUGGAUCCCAGAAGUGUUUAACAUUGGAAAGAAAGAUGGGGCCGCACGGUUUCCCGCAGUCCUCGAUGGCCGGGACGUUCAGAACUGUGACAGCAAGCAUCAUGAUCAGACCCCAGAUUGUACUGGAUUUCUCUGAGCCCUUUCAACACCAAACACCUGGGGUAUUCCUACGAACAUCACUGACAAUGAACUCCAGGUAAUACGCUUUGGUUUAAGGGACCUUUUGUUCAUUUGAGACAAUGCUUCCAUCAGUUCUGGCCCACAUCAGUCUUUUUUGAAUAUACAGAAAGUGACUGAGAACAUCAGGAACAGCCACACUCUCCAUACAGUGACAGAGAACAGGAGGGAAGAGCCGAGGAGGCUCACAAACAGUAUCACAGAGCACCCCAAACAUGGGCUCUUUACAGACAAGCCUGUAAUUCCUGGUCUUUUGAAGAUGUUUGCAAACUGCAGAGGGUUGGGACUGGAAAAGCCCCUUGCAGGACAGCUGCAGGAGGACAGAGGUGCCGGCUCCCCGCAGGCUGAUCCCACAGCUGAUCCUGCAGGUGGAUCCCACAGCUGAUCCCACAGCUGAUCUGAAGGUAGAUCCCACAGCUGAUCCCACAGGUGGAUCCCACAGCUGAUCCCGCAGCUGAUCUGAAGGUGGAUCCCACAGCUGAUCCCACAGCUGAGCCCACAGGCAGAUCCUGCAGCUGAUCCCACAGGUGGAUCCCACAGCUGAUCCCACAGCUGGAUCCCACAGGUGGAUCCCACAGCUGAUCCCACAGCUGUUCCCACAGGUGGAUCCCACAGCUGAUCCCACAGGUGGAUCCCACAGCUGAUCCCACAGCUGAUACCACAGCUGGAUCCCACAGCCAGAUCCUGCAGCUGAUCCCACAGGUGGAUCCCACCGCUGAUCCCACAGGUGGAUCCCCCAGCUGACCCCACAGCUGACCCCACAGCCGACCCCGCUCCCCUCUCCCUUCCCGCGGGCUGCGGGCACGGACCCUGCUCUGACGCACUGCGGUGCCGUCCCACCGACACGUGGAGCAGGAGCUGAGCUCUGCUACCACCCUGUGAGUAAAUGAAUCAUCUUAACAGCAGCAGCAACAACUCCGCCAGUUCCCCAACAGCGUCCCAGGGAGAUUGUUCAAUAGAUAAUAACAAGAUUGAGGAGAUGAUUUCUUUCCCUUAAGUCAUUUACUCCUAAGUUCGCAAACUUUAAUGACUGCUUUGGAAUUAUUUAU